rnacentral:rRNA from 1 species
AAUAUUGGACAAUGUGGGCAACGCUGAUCCAGCCAUGCCGCGUGUGUGAAGAAGGAANNNGGAUUNUNAAGCACUUUAAGUAGNGANNAAGGGCUUUAGAUUAAUACUCUGAAGUAUUGACGUUAUCAACAGACUAAGCACCGGCUAACUCAGUGCCAGAAGGCGCGGUAAUAAAGAGGGUUCAAGCGUUAAUCAGAAUUACGGGGCGUAAAGAGCGCGUAGGUAGCUCAGUAAGAUAGGUGUGAAAUCCCCGGGCUUAACCUGGGAACUGCUCUCAGAACUGCUGAGCUAGAGUACAGUAGAGGGUAGUGGAAUUUCCUGUGUAGCGGUGAAAUGCGUAGAUAUAGGAAGGAACACCAGUGGCGAAGGCGACUACCUGGACUGAUACUGACACUGAGGUGCGAAAGCGUGGGGAGCAAAC